rnacentral:tRNA from 1 species
GGUAGGAUGGCUGAGUUAGGCAAAGGGUUGUAACCCCUCUUAUAAAGGUUAAAGUCCUUUUCCUAUCA